rnacentral:rRNA from 1 species
UUAGGAAUAUUCGUCAAUGGGGGAAACCCUGAACGAGCAAUGCCGCGUGAGUGAUGAAGGCCCUAUGGGUUGUAAAACUCUGUUGUUUGGAAAGAAUUGCAAGGGUAGGAAAUGACCUUUGCUUGACGGUACCAUUCAAGAAAGCCACGGCUAACUACGUGCCAGCAGCCGCGGUAAUACGUAGGUGGCGAGCGUUAUCCGGAUUUAUUGGGCGUAAAGGGUGCGCAGGCGGCUUAUUAAGUCUAAGAUGAAAAGUCCGAAGCUUAACUUCGGUUUGUUUUAGAAACUGGUAGGCUUGAGUAUGGUAGAGGCAAACGGAAUUCCUAGUGUAGCGGUGGAAUGCGUAGAUAUUAGGAGGAACACCAGUGGCGAAGGCGGUUUGCUGGGCCAUUACUGACGCUCAUGCACGAAAGCGUGGGGAGC